CACAUGCAGUCGCACGGGGGCUUCGGCUCUAGUGGCGGACGGGUGAGUAACGCGUAGGAACGUGUCCUGGGAUGGGGGAUAACGCUGGGAAACUGGCGCUAAUACCGCAUGUCUGCUGAGGCAGAAAGCCUUCGGGUGUCUUGGGAGCGGCCUGCGUCCGAUUAGCUAGUUGGUGGGGUAAAGGCUUACCAAGGCGACGAUCGGUAGCUGGUCUGAGAGGACGAUCAGCCACACUGGGACUGAGACACGGCCCAGACUCCUACGGGAGGCAGCAGUGGGGAAUAUUGGACAAUGGGCGGAAGCCUGAUCCAGCAAUUCCGCGUGGGUGAAGAAGGUCUUCGGAUUGUAAAGCCCUUUCGGCGGGGACGAUGAUGACGGUACCCGCAGAAGAAGCCCCGGCUAACUUCGUG
rnacentral:rRNA from 1 species